UAUUACAGAAGAUAAUUACAGCUUUUGACGUCUUGAAUAAGGGAAGGAGAAUGGUUAUGAAGGGUUUUGAAUCCAAAAGUUAAUUUUAAUUUAAAUGUACUCGCGAUUCACAUAAAGCCGGAUGAACACAUGCGGGGAGCGGCAAGGAAAAGCGGUGUCGCAAACGCGUCUUUGUCGCGCGGCAAACGCCAAUCUCUCUACAUUUCGGCGCAUGCGCAAAAUAUUCAAGAUGGCGGGUGAUUCCAAUUCUGCUGCUCUCCUCAUGCUUACCAAUUUCGUUUUGUACACAUCACUUUAUGUGUGUAGAAGACGUCGACAAAGAAGAUUUGACCGGAGAUUUUCUUAGAUCGAGAGAGAACUGGUGUUCAAAAUACACUUAUUCGUCGUCUAAGAAUACUACUUCGAUUUCCUUAUACCCCGUUCGCACCGAGCAUUUCGAUCUAGAUUGUGACAGGUCGGAGAGAGUUCCUUGGUGCGAACGCUCUCGACCGUUUCAAUCUCGACUGAAACGAGGUUCUAUCGCGAUCGACUGGAGAGAGUUCUUGAAACUAGAUCCAGUCAUAAGAGAGAUCCCACAAUCCCACGCGCGCGA